GACGAACGCUGGCGGCGUGCUUAACACAUGCAAGUCGAACGGUGAAGGGGAGCUUGCUCCCCGGAUCAGUGGCGAACGGGUGAGUAACACGUGGGCAACCUGCCCCAGACUUCGGGAUAACGCUUCGAAAGAGGUGCUAAUACCGGAUACGACCUGGUGCGACAUCGCACCGGGUGGAAAGAACUUCGGUGGGGGAUGGGCCCGCGGCCUAUCAGCUUGUUGGUGGGGUAACGGCCCACCAAGGCGACGACGGGUAGCCGGCCUGAGAGGGUGACCGGCCACACUGGGACUGAGACACGGCCCAGACUCCUACGGGAGGCAGCAGUGGGGAAUAUUGCACAAUGGGCGAAAGCCUGAUGCAGCAACGCCGCGUGAGGGACGACGGCCUUCGGGUUGUAAACCUCUUUUAGUAGGGAAGAAGCGAAAGUGACGGUACCUGCAGAAAAAGCACCGGCUAACUACGUGCCAGCAGCCGCCGUAACAC
rnacentral:rRNA from 1 species